rnacentral:misc_RNA from 1 species
CAUUCUUGAGCGAUAACCCAUCAAUGAACGAUCAACCAACACUGAUAGAAACCUUACAAGGCUCUGAUCCCUUAUCCAUGAGCUUUACUGACUACUUAUCCGUGGACUAUAACACUUUAUCAAGAGCCUUUGAUGUGCCUUGCUCAUCAUCCGAUGUAAUUAGUCCCAUCCAAGACUACUGUUCAAGGGAAAUCAGUGCACCAGCAGCGGUCACCAAUGAAAACACAUCCACGCCAGAUUCAUCAUCAAUAUCUUCUUCAUCUAACGAUGCAGCGACCCAACAAGGCCCAGGCAAGAGCAAAGAAAAGCAGCAG